rnacentral:rRNA from 1 species
UACGGGGGGGCAAGCGUUGUUCGGAAUUACUGGGCGUAAAGGGCUCGUAGGCGGCCAACUAAGUCAGACGUGAAAUCCCUCGGCUUAACCGGGGAACUGCGUCUGAUACUGGAUGGCUUGAGUUCGGGAGAGGGAUGCGGAAUUCCAGGUGUAGCGGUGAAAUGCGUAGAUAUUGGGAGGAACACCAGUGGCGAAAGCGCGUGACUGGCCACAACUGACGCUGAGGAACGAAGCCAGGG